rnacentral:rRNA from 1 species
GAGCCGCCUAGGGUAAAACUAGUAACUAGGGCUAAGUCGUAACAAGGUAGCCGUACCGGAAGGUGCGGCUGGAAUACCUCCUUUCUAGAG